rnacentral:rRNA from 1 species
CCGGCACGGGUGAGUAACACGUAUCCAACCUGCCGUCUACUCUUGGCCAGCCUUCUGAAAGGAAGAUUAAUCCAGGAUGGCAUCAUGAGUUCACAUGUCCGCAUGAUUAAAGGUAUUUUCUGGUAGACGGUGGGGAUGCGUUCCAUUAGAUAGUAGGCGGGGUAACGGCCCACCUAGUCAACGAUGGAUAGGGGUUCUGAGAGGAAGGUCCCCCACAUUGGAACUGAGACACGGUCCAA